rnacentral:rRNA from 1 species
UACAGAGGUCUCAACCGUUGUUCGGAUUCAUUGGGCGUAAAGGGUGCGUAGGCGGUCGUGCAAGUCGGAUGUGAAAUCUCAGGGCCCAACCCUGAAACUGCAUUCGAUACUGCGUGGCUAGAGUGCUGGAGAGGAGACUGGAAUUUACGGUGUAGCAGUGAAAUGCGUAGAUAUCGUAAGGAAGACCAGUGGCGAAGGCGAGUCUCUGGACAGCAACUGACGCUGAGGCACGAAGGCCAGGGGAGCAAACGGG